AUCACCUGGGGAUCUUGUUAAAACAGAUUUUGAUUCAGUCAAUCUGAGGUGGGGCCUGAAUUCUGUAUUUUUAACAAGAUCCCAAGUGAUAUGGA
rnacentral:pre_miRNA from 1 species